GGCGGCGUGCUUAACACAUGCAAGUGGUGCGACGAACCGGGCUUCGGCCCGGGGCAAAGCCGCGAACGGGUGAGUAACACGUGGGUAAUCUGCCCCAAUGACUGGGACAACCCGGGGAAACCCGGGCUAAUACCAGAUGUGCUCUCCAUCCUUCGGGACGGAGAGGAAAGGUAGCUUCGGCCUCCGCAUUGGGAUGAGCCCGCGGCCCAUUAGCUUGUUGGUGAGGUAACGGCUCACCAAGGCUGCGAUGGGUAGCUGGUCUGAGAGGACGAUCAGCCACACUGGGACUGAGACACGGCCCAGACUCCUACGGGAGGCAGCAGUGGGGAAUCUUGCGCAAUGCGCGAAAGCGUGACGCAGCAACGCCGCGUGGGGGAAGACGGCCUUCGGGUUGUNAACCCCUUUCAGUUGGGACGAANCCUUCCCUGGUUAA
rnacentral:rRNA from 1 species